UAGGGAAUCUUCGGCAAUGUACGAAAGUCUGACCGAGCAACGCCGCGUGAGUGAAGAAGUUUUUCGGAUCGUAAAACUCUGUUGUUAGAGAAGAACAAGGACGUUAUUAACUGAACGUCCCCUGACUGUAUCUAACCAGAAAGCCACGGCUAACUACGUGCCAGCAGCCGCGGUAAUACGUAGGUGGCAAGCGUUGUCCGUAUUUAUUGGGCGUAAAGCGAGCGCAGGCGGUUUCUUAAGUCUGAUGUGAAAGCCCCCGGCUCAACCGGGGAGGGUCAUUGGAAACUGGGAGACUUGAGUGCAGAAGAGGAGAGUGGAAUUCCAUGUGUAGCGGUGAAAUGCGUAGAUAUAUGGAGGAACACCAGUGGCGAAGGCGGCUCUCUGGUCUGUAACUGACGCUGAGGCUCGAAAGCGUGGGGAGCAAACGGG
rnacentral:rRNA from 1 species